rnacentral:lncRNA from 1 species
GAAUAAAGGUGUGUGCCACCAUUUCCAGGCAUCCAACAUCUUACAUGGCUACUGUAAGGGAGACUUAAGGGAGAAUCUCUUGAGAAACCCACAUUCCCGCUUGGGUGUGUACAACUGUCUUCCCCAUAUGCCUAUUACCCACCCCCCUACCAUGUGUAGACCUGUGUUAAAUUCUCUUCUUAAUUAAUUCCGGCUUUACUUCAUUCUGACUCACCCUGAAAUCUCCUGGGGUGUAGUCAAGAAGUCCAGUUUCAAAAGCUCAGCAUAGAUACAGCCCCACUGCUGACAAAACCCUAAUCAAAUAAGACUGAGUAGGACACAUGCCCAUAAUCUCAACACUAGCUACCUGAGGCAGAAAGGAUGGCUGCAUUUCUAGUCAGCCUGGGCUACAUGGUGAAUUGUAGGCCGAGACCUUGUCACAACAAAAAAUCUACCCAUGGCUGAGGUGUGGUGGCACUCACCUUUAAUCCCAGCACUCGUGAGACAGAGGCAGGCCGAUCUCAGUGAGUUCAAGGCCAGCCUGAUCUACAGAGCAGAGAGCAGUUCCAGGAUUGUCCCUGGGCUACACAGAAUAACCCUGUGUCAAGAAACCAAAAAAAAAAAAGGAAAACCAAAAUGCCAAACCUAUCCAAGGCCAGAGAAAUGGCUUAGAAGGUAAAAGUGCUAGCCGCACAAACCUGAAGGAAGACCUAACUCCGAUACCCUUGGAAGAAGCUGCAUUCUAUAGCAGGCAUCUGUAACCCUAGUACUCCUAUGGGGGACAUGGUAGGCAGAAGCAAAAAUUCUUCUUCAGGAAAGCCAGCUCCUUUUCAAGAGCCAGCUAGCCUAUAGUACUGGUCUCACACUCCACCUGCCUUGGAGGCUGGGACUAAAGGCACGCACCACCAUUUCUAGGCAUCCAACAUCUAAUAUGACUACUGUAAAGGUGCUUAAGGGAGACUCUUUUUAUUUUCUUUUUUUAUUUUUUUUCGAGACAGGGUUUCUCUGUGUAGCCCUGGUUGUCCUGGAACUUACUCUGUAGACCAGGCUGGCCUCCAACUAUGCCCCUGCCUCCCAAGUGCUGGGAUUAAAGGUUUGUGUCACCACUGCCAGGCAGGGAGACUCUUCUAUACAUCUCUCUACUGGUAUCAAAUGUACCAGUGAAUCUGAUAGCAGCACAAGAGCAUUGAUAAGACAUUUUUGCCUCAGUAUAGUAUGCUAAGAAUAAAUUCAAGGUCAAAUACAAAGAGACCAUCACUCCACAAGAAGUGUGACUAAGGGGUAAACUUUACCCACGAUUGUGUAGGAGACAGGAUAUGCAUUUGGGUUUUUAUUCUAAUGCAAGUGAUGACCUUUUUUUUUAUUUUCUUCAGUGCCUGGAGUCUGACCUCUCACUCUUUCAACAUUGGCUACUUUGAAAAGCAUUUGCUGCAAAAGAAAUGAAGGAAAGCAGAAAAGAGUCACUGCUCCAGGCCAUGGACUUCCUGGAAUGCAUGAGGCCUGCUAGGGAAGGAAGGUGUUCAAUUAUUUCUCUGCUGCCAG